rnacentral:lncRNA from 1 species
CAGAUUAAAUGCAAGUUCCUCCGGAGCCACAAAAGACUUUAUGCUACUUUUUCCACAUCUGCAAUUGUAUUCUCCAAGAGCUGUAAACAAACUUUAAUUUAUGAAAAACUUUAACUUGAACUACGCGCCAAAUGUUGUGAUUUCUUAAAAAUCGAUAUCUUAAAACCUCUGACUGAAACAUAACUGAUAUCUUCACAAAUAAUUCAGCCUUGCAACAUAAUCCAGUGAUGAAUAAUGGAGUGACUUGUUUCCAAAAAGAAAACAUAUUGUAUUUCAUUAAAACUAACAGCUGUCAGUUUAGGUACACAUAACUAAAAGAAAUGCUGCAGCCAAACACAACAGUCCUGCAAUCAAUUCUACCCCUGUGGAGGUUAUAAUGCUGAGUUUUGGUUGAAACUGUUUCAGAGAGGUGCUGAUUAAACUGUAUGAUGCGUUUGGAGGAUGUAGCCUGCGGUGCCGUUGAAGUAUACGUAGAUGUAUCUAAUAAACUGAGAACUGAGUGAGGUGCACACAGUUUUAAAAGUGUGAUGUGUCAGAAAGCAAUUUGUGGAUUCUUUCUACUUAAUCACAACUUUUUAAGUUGUUGGCCUGCAUGUGUUUCAGAAGUUAAUGAUUAAUUUCACUUCUGAUCGCAGAUAAAAUACAAAGGAGAUGGUUACAGUUACAGCACAAACGUUCAAAUUCAGUUGGUUUUAUGGUCAUUAGCAGGUGUCACUAAGGGGAAUUUGGAGCCAUGUUGGCUCUGUGCAGUGGCUGCAGCUCAUUGCAGCAGCAGGUCAGGCUGUCUGUGUGACACAGGUAGGAAAUGCAAAUGAGACCAGUUAGAGCUGCUCUUCACAUUCUCACUGUAUCGCUCACCCUCAAUCUUCAAAACCAUUUGCAUUCAAGAACCGAAACAAAGACAUUUCCUCAUGACUUGAGCUGUGAGACUCGACCCCAAAUCAUGACAAUGAGCUUCUUUGGAAAACUGAAGAACCUGUAAGUAUUACGGCGACCAUCAGCACAACCUCUUUAGAUUUGCUGUUCAUUUGUUCUGCAUGUGAUAAAAAAUGGUAGUCCAGCAUCUUACCUCUUCUUCCUCUCUCUGUCAGACACAGUGGACCUCCAGCUCCACCCAGAAGGACAGGUGAGAUGUAACCUCACCUUUGUUUUUGUCUACGUUUCUUUUACUGCAUUACAAGCUUUGUUAUCUAUCAGCAUCUUUUUUCACUCCGUCUGUUUCAGAUGACAAUGCAGGAUGGCCACAGGAUGAGUUUGUGAGUAGAAAUAAAAUAAGUUCAUAAAUGUGUUUUUACUUACUUCUAGGAUUUAAAAAGUGCAUUUCCCCCUGUUAUUUUAUAUGUUUCUUU